UACGAAGGUGGCAAGCGUUGUUCGGAUUUACUGGGCGUACAGGGAGCGUAGGCGGUUGGGUAAGCCCUCCGUGAAAUCUUCGGGCCUAACCCGGAAAGUGCGGAGGGGACUGCUCGGCUAGAGGAUGGAAGAGGGUCGCGGAAUUCCCGGUGUAGAGGUGAAAUUCGUAGAUAUCGGGAGGAACAUCAGUGGCGAAGGCGGCGACCUGGGCCAAUAUUGACGCUGAGGUGCGAAAGCGUGGGGAGCAAACAGG
rnacentral:rRNA from 1 species